rnacentral:rRNA from 1 species
GUGGGGAAUAUUGGACAAUGGGGGGAACCCUGAUCCAGCCAUGCCGCGUGUGUGAAGAAGGCCUUUUGGUUGUAAAGCACUUUAAGCGGGGAGGAGGCUCUUGAGGAUAAUACCCUUGAUGUGUGGACGUUACCCGCAGAAUAAGCACCGGCUAACUCUGUGCCAGCAGCCGCGGUAAUACAGAGGGUGCGAGCGUUAAUCGGAUUUACUGGGCGUAAAGCGUGCGUAGGCGGCUGAAUAAGUCGGAUGUGAAAUCCCCGAGCUUAACUUGGGAAUUGCAUACGAUACUGUUUGGCUAGAGUAUGGGAGAGGAUGGUAGAAUUCCAGGUGUAGCGGUGAAAUGCGUAGAGAUCUGGAGGAAUACCGAUGGCGAAGGCAGCCAUCUGGCCUAAUACUGACGCUGAGGUACGAAAGCAUGGGGAGCAAACAGGAUUAGAUACCCUGGUAGUCC